rnacentral:rRNA from 1 species
AAAUUGAAGAGUUUGAUCAUGGCUCAGAUUGAACGCUGGCGGCAGGCCUAACACAUGCAAGUCGAACGGUAACAGGAAACAGCUUGCUGUUUCGCUGACGAGUGGCGGACGGGUGAGUAAUGUCUGGGAAACUGCCUGAUGGAGGGGGAUAACUACUGGAAACGGUAGCUAAUACCGCAUAACGUCGCAAGACCAAAGAGGGGGACCUUCGGGCCUCUUGCCAUCGGAUGUGCCCAGAUGGGAUUAGCUAGUAGGUGGGGUAAA